rnacentral:rRNA from 1 species
UCUACGGGAGGCAGCAGUGGGGAAUAUUGCACAAUGGGGGAAACCCUGAUGCAGCGACGCCGCGUGAGUGAAGAAGUAUUUCGGUAUGUAAAGCUCUAUCAGCAGGGAAGAAAUAGCGACCUUUGGGUCGCCAGACGGUACCUGAUUAAGAAGCCCCGGCUAACUACGUUCCAGCAGACGCGGUAAUACGUAGGGGGCAAGCGUUAGCCGGAUUUACUGGGUGUAACGGGGGCGUAGACGUCAGAGCAAGUCUGAAGAGAAAGGCCGGGGCUUAACCCCGGAACUGCUUUGGAAACUGUGCAGCUAGAGUGCAGGAGAGGUAAGUGGAAGUCCUAGUGUAGCGGUGAAAGGCGUAGAGAUUAGGAGGAACACCAGUGGCGAAGGCGGCUUACUGGACUGUAACUGACGUUGAGGCUCGAAAGCGUGGGGAGCAAACAGGAUUAGAUACCCCAGUAGUC